rnacentral:pre_miRNA from 1 species
CUGUAGUGCAUUGUAGUUGCAUUGCAUGUUGUGGCAGUAACUGCAAUGUUUCUGCAGUGCAGUACAG